rnacentral:rRNA from 1 species
UACGUAGGGGCGCAAGCGUUAUCCGGAAUUAUUGGGCGUAAAGAGCUCGUAGGCGGUUUUGUCGCGUCUGCCGUGAAAGUCCGGGGCUCAACUCCGGAUCUGGCGGUGGGUACGGGCAGACUAGAGUGAUGUAGGGGGAGACUGGAAUUCCUGGUGUAGCGGUGAAAUGCGCAGAUAUCAGGAGGAACACCGAUGCGAAGGCAGGUCUCUGGGCAUUAACUGACGCUGAGGAGCGAAAAGCAUGGGGGAGGCGACAGG